rnacentral:lncRNA from 1 species
UUGUAACGAUGGUGCCAACUUUUUUUUUUAAGUAAAAUAACGGAGUAAUCACUGCUAAAUUUGUUCCCUUUCCUUUACUUCACAGAUGUGCAAAGUAAAGAGAAAAGGGGAGAGGACUUGGCUCAGGGGUGCGGCCGCCAGCAGCUCUCCCAUCCUUUAUGAACUGCGUCAGUAAAGGAGACUCUCAGGCGGGAUGAUUAUUUGCAUGGAGGCAGGAAGCAUGGCCCCGCUGUUCUUUCUCUGCUGGCUGAGAAGCAGGACAUCUGCCAAACCCCGAGUCACCUCGCUUCGACGAACUCGUGAAGAGUGCAGGAAGUGAGCCACAAUCCCUGGCAUUGAUGGGGUGCAUGGGGGCCUCAGUGGAGAGCCAGUCUUGAAAGCGCCCUUUUCAAAGGCGAGGAGCGGACACCACCCAAGAUGCUG